GCGGAAUGCUUUACACAUGCAAGUCGAACGGCAGCACGGGUACUUGUACCUGGUGGCGAGUGGCGAACGGGUGAGUAACAUAUCGGAACGUAUCCAAUAAUGGGGGAUAACUAAUCGAAAGGUUGGCUAAUACCGCAUACGCCCUACGGGGGAAAGCAGGGGAUCUUCGGACCUUGCGUUAAUGGAGCGGCCGAUAUCUGAUUAGCUAGUUGGUGAGGUAAAGGCUCACCAAGGCGACGAUCAGUAGCUGGUCUGAGAGGACGACCAGCCACACUGGAACUGAGACACGGUCCAGACUCCUACGGGAGGCAGCAGUGGGGAAUUUUGGACAAUGGGCGCAAGCCUGAUCCAGCCAUUCCGCGUGAGUGAAGAAGCCUUCGGGUUGUAAAGCUCUUUCGCAAGGGAAGAAAACUUACUUUCUAAUAAAGAGUGAGGUUGACGGUACCUUGAUAAGAAGCACCGGCUAACUACGUGCCA
rnacentral:rRNA from 1 species